rnacentral:misc_RNA from 1 species
UCCCAGCUUCUUAUCAACAACGUUUACACGUUACGGACAAAAAGCUGGGCGGUUUCGUGUGACAGAUCAAACACACGAUGCGGGUUGCGCUCGUUACCCCACUUAAGGGAACACUUCAAAGCACGAGCUGACGACAACCAUGCAGCACCUGUGCACGUGUCUUUUAAGGGACUACUCACGUUUCUGCGAGUAUUCACGUACAUUUCAAACCCUGGUAAGGUUUUUCGUUUAGUGUCGAAUUGAACCUCAUGCUCCACCGCUUGUGCGAGUCCCCGUCUAUUCCUUUGAGUUUUAAUCUUGCGAUCGUACUUCCCAGGCGGCACAUUUAACGCGUUAGCUAAGCCACUCCGAGGGUCGAUACUCGAAACAGCGAAUGUGCAUCGUUUAGGGCGUGGACUA